rnacentral:rRNA from 1 species
UACGUAGGUGGCAAGCGUUGUCCGGAUUUACUGGGUGUAAAGGGCGUGUAGCCGGGCUGACAAGUCAGAUGUGAAAUCCGGGGGCUCAACCCCCGAACUGCAUUUGAAACUGUUGGUCUUGAGUAUCGGAGAGGCAGGCGGAAUUCCUAGUGUAGCGGUGAAAUGCGUAGAUAUUAGGAGGAACACCAGUGGCGAAGGCGGUCUGCUGGACAGCAACUGACGCUGAGGCGCGAAAGCGUGGGGAGCAAACAGG